UGUUGUUUCAGCUAGUUUAAGUAAAUUUACAACAUUGUUUCUACCAAUUUCCAGCUGUAUGGUACUCGGUAUGAAAAGUGGAGAGACUUUAAACAUUCUAUAGUUACGAGGCUGCGCCAUGUACAGACAAUCUCACAUGUGACGGGUGCUACUAUAAGGAAUACAACUGGAGAGACAUCUUGGUACAACGGUAGACAGCAGAGAUGGGCACACAGUAUUGGGGUGUGCUGGGACUUGUUCGUCGCAGUCGGAGCUAAGCUGAUAUUGGUUUAAUUGGCCGUAAUUCUGGCCGUAAUAUUGGCCGUAAUUCAACACCGGAAUACGCAUAAUAAAUACAACACUGGUGGGAAGGAGAGACACAGUCAAAGAAGUACUGCUAUAUAGAAGAUAAUUAAUAACCAAGAAGCCCAGAACACCAGCAUCUUUCUCCAGCAAAGUAAUGCCAAGUGUCCCAAACAGAAGGAAGCCGUGUAUAGCCAAUGCGGCCAUACCAGUGCUGCUGCAUCACACCUACAUCUUAUCCUAGGCCGUACACGACGCUUUGCAUGGCCGCUGGACGUGCGGAUUUGUACCCCCGGGUAUACGCCAUCUGUCGCAACCCUCACUCCUUAUACCACCUCUUCGGUACAUGUAUAUGUAGCAGGAUUCGGGUAGGAGUACGUGCACAGGUGUAGUGAUGCACUGGCCCCCUACUACAGUAUGGCCAGUUCAGCGUAUAACCAUACGUAGAUAAUAGCAACUCUGUACCUUAGGUAGUGAUGCACCGGCCGCGGAUGCGGGCACCGCCCCCCUACAUUAAGCAUUCAAUAUAGGGCUAGCAGCAUCAUGUCAAUCACCAGCGCGUGGCCUCCGACGACAGUCACCAUCGCGCAGGCCGCGCGCUUCCUCCCUUUAGGAAUCAAGUUCAGAGGGUGGGUCAGGAUCGGUUUACGUUCGCGUGUGCCAGGGGGGGUGAGACAACACCUUGGCUGGUCAGAGCAUGGGAAAUCACACCUCCCCCCUCCCAAGAGCAUGGGAGUUAGGGUUGGGGUGUCCGGCUCGCAGGUUUACCCUGGCACAAUCGCAUAGGUUGAAUGACGUCGUCGAUGCUAGGGCGAGCUACAAUCUUAUAGGCCUACGUGCUGCCAUAUUUUGGGACUAAAUUUGGGGGGAGUUGGUCGCUCCCAUGGCGUCGCACUCACGCGGCCUGUGUGGGCUGUUGCUCGGCUCCGCGAGUCUGCGCGCUUACGGGGGCGGGCCGUUCCGGCGCGCGCAAUCAUCCCCGGCCGGACGCGCAAACGUACGCAUGUCGCGGCCGGGCGCGCACAGGGCUCUCCUCACCCAUAAUGUACCAACAAUAUACUCGGGUGUUUGUGUCUAUAUGUUGUUAACCGCGCGGAAAAUUUGGUUGCACGGUUUAGUUCGAGUUUCGCUCGCCAGGGACUUUGGCGCUUACGAGACGUUAACUACUUAUGGAGACAGCGUCAUUACCGUGCAAGAACCACCUGGGAAGAGCAGGCCAAGUGUGUUGCGCUCAGGACUUCAGGCUGAACAGUCUGGAGUUUGGAGUCCCACCUUGAUCACUUAUGUUGUGCCCAUGAGCAAGGCAUUUUAUGGAAGGUUUGCUUGGAGAAGGGAGUGACUUUGUCACUAGUGAGGAGAUAAGCUUUCUCUGCCACCCCUAGCUACAGGUUGUCCUUAGGCAAGGCAUAGCACCUGUUUAGCCUCCCGUGCCAGGGUUACGGUGAAGAUGUCUAAUAUAGUGGAGAUGGACUGAACACAGCAUUGAACAUAACAAAAUUGGAGGGAAGGAGAAACAUAGCUAAAGGAGUGCUGCUCUACUAGAUAAUCCACAUCAAAGAAGGUAAAUAUCUUUCUCCAGCUAAAUAUCUGCUAGUGACCCAAGGAAGAUGAAGAAGAAGAAGAAGAAAAGAUGAAUAAAGAGAAGAAAAAAAUGAAAAUGAAGUUCUAAGGAAACGCCGCUGACGACGAAGAAGAAGAAGAAGAAGAAGAAAUAGACUAUGAUGACGAUGUGGGCAACGACCAAGAUGAUGACUUCAACAAUGAAGAGGAAGCAAAAGAGGAAUGUCUGAUCAUAGAUGGAAGAGGGAUAAUUGGUGCCAGGGUGUUGAGUCAUGAGGCUGGGAUUGGAGCAAGAUGUCUUUUUUCCUCCAUUCAAACACCAUGCAUGCUUAUCAUUUAGACCAGCAAUACACAAACAAGGAACCAGGAAGGAACCGGAACAAGGAUCAAGAAACCAAGCACCAGGACGAGGAACCAGGAACCAGGACUUCAGACUCACUUCUGCUGAACACUGCCACACCCACGGAUCAGCACACGCCGGCAAUGAGCCACCAAAUCAUGUAAAAGGACAUUUGUGAAGACAUAGACACAUCAUCAAGCUUACGGGAGGCGUGAGUGCAUGAAAUCGUUGAAGCCACGAAUGCUAUUGCAAUGAUGCACUACGUUAACGUGAAACUGUCUUGUUACCAUCUGCAUGUUGUUAAUCGAAUCCAGAGUAGUUUUCCAUUGAGUUCGUUUUUAGACAUCAGUAGUUCAAUGUUCGAAGUAUUUGACUAG